rnacentral:sRNA from 1 species
CUCCUCAUUCCUGUGCUCCUUGGGCUGACAGAACGCUUGCCGCGUCACGGACGUGGCGCUGCCGGAUCUCUGUGACAAGCACAGAGAAUGAGGGA